UGGGGAAUAUUGCACAAUGGGCGAAAGCCUGAUGCAGCAACGCCGCGUGAGUGAUGAAGGCCUUCGGGUUGUAAAGCUCUGUCUUCUGGGACGAUAAUGACGGUACCAGAGGAGGAAGCCACGGCUAACUACGUGCCAGCAGCCGCGGUAAUACGUAGGUGGCAAGCGUUGUCCGGAUUUACUGGGCGUAAAGGAUGCGUAGGCGGAUACAUAAGUCAGAUGUGAAAAUCCCGGGCUUAACUUGGGAACUGCAUUUGAAACUGGGGAUCUAGAGUGCGGGAGAGGAAAGUGGAAUUCCUAGUGUAGCGGUGAAAUGCGUAGAGAUUAGGGAGAACACCAGUGGCGAAGGCGACUUUCUGGACCGUAACUGACGCUGAGGCAUGAAAGCGUGGGGAGCAAACA
rnacentral:rRNA from 1 species